GGUUUCGUGGUGUAGUUGGUUAUCACGCAAGUCUAACACGUCCACUCUCAGCAUGAGAGUAUCCGGCGGAGCACUUGAGGUCUCCGGUUCGAGCCCGGACGAAAUCA